UCUAAUUUCUUUUUAUCUGUUUCGACUCGCGUCUCUCUCGCAAUCUUCUUGGAAUAUCUUCGGGUCUUCGUCUUUGACAGAUAAGCACCAACCAGGGAACAGCCUAUGCAAAAAACACGUGAGCGGCUAUGAUAAAGGGGAAUGGACAGAUUAACGGUGUUAGUAAACCGGCCCUUGAGGUUAUUGAAACGCCCAUCUUAUCCAUAGAAAAAUAGGAGCUUGCUCAAAAUAAUGAAUGAAAACUAAUAUUAUAUGCCUCCAUAUAAGCUUUUUAUUUAUUUUUCCUCCGUUCAUCCUAAUUUAUGUUUUGGCCCCAAAUGAUAAGAAUGUGAAGUUUUAAUGAUUUUUCUUGAGAUGUGUAGAAAUCCCUAGUCGUUGAACAAGAAAUUGGGAUCGGAUCAUGCAGAGCUCCAUUCCCGAGGAAAGGAAGGAGAAGAAGAAGUUCAAAACAAUAGAGAUGGAAGAUUACCUUAUGGGUUGGGCAGUUGAUCAUCGGAUUGCAUGAAGUAAGGCAUAGAGGUAUUUGAGAAAGGGAAGAGAAUCAAUAAUAGACAAGUACAUGCAAGAACACCCGAGACGUAGCAAAUAAGCCUUGCGGCAUGGCCAUAGCUAGCAUUAGGAAUGGGUCGGAAUAACUCCAUCAAUGCUAGGAAGUAAACAGACAUAGCU